rnacentral:pre_miRNA from 13 species
CCCGCCGGGCCGCCCCUCCAGGCGCAGGGCAGCCACUGCCCACCGCACACUGCGCUGCUCCCGACCCACUGUGCGUGUGACAGCGGCUGAUCUGUCCCUGGGCAGCGCGAGCCCUUGGCC